rnacentral:tRNA from 1 species
GCCAGUGUGGUGUAGUGGUUUGAGCACUGGACUAUGACUCUGGAGACCAGGGUCCAAAUCUCCACUUAGGCA